AAUAAGAUGCCUGAAAAAAGGAUUAUUAUGAUAGAAUAAAUUAUGUAUACAAUAUACUCUUAUUG
rnacentral:tRNA from 1 species